AGACUGGGACGGAGAUUUGUCUUCCAACAAGACAAUGAUCCAAAACAUAAAGCAAAAUCUACAAUGGAAUGGUUCAAAAAUAAACAUAUCCAGGUGUUAGAAUGGCCAAGUCAAAGUCCAGACCUGAAUCCAAUCGAGAAUCUGUGGAAAGAACUGAAAACUGCUGUUCACAAAUGCUUUCCAUCCAACCUCACUGAGCUCGAGCUGUUUUGCAAGGAGGAAUGGGAAAAAAUGUCAGUCUCUCGAUGUGCAAAACUGAUAGAGACAUACCCCAAGCGACUUACAGCUGUAAUCGCAGCAAAAGGUGGCGCUACAAAGUAUUAACUUAAGGGGGCUGAAUAAUUUUGCACGCCCAAUUUUUCAGUUUUUGAUUUGUUAAAAAAGUUUGAAAUAUCCAAUAAAUGUCAUUCCACUUCAUGAUUGUGUCCCACUUGUGGUUGAUUCUUCACAAAAAAUUACAGUUUUAUAUCUUUAUGUUUGAAGCCUGAAAUGUGGCAAAAGGUCGCAAAGUUCAAGGGGGCCGAAUACUUUCGCAAGGCACUGUAUGUAUAUAUAUAUAUUUAAUAUAUAUUUUGACCAUUAAACAUGUGUGUUCUCUUGUUUUGUACUGUUCUGUAGUUUUGACCCAAUGAUUCGUCUGAGAAACAAAGAACUUUGCGUGCUUCAGGCCCAAACCUGGCGAAACAUUCAAUGACGUCAUCUUCAUGGACGAAUCAACCGUGGCCCUUGAGCAAUUCGCUCAAAAUUGCUACAGAAAAAAUGAAGAAAAUCAAGCAAGCCGAAUCCCAACCAUUUGGGGGCAAUUUCUCGCCAGGGACCAGGCCCAUAUUUGAUUUUUGAUUAGCUAUUUAUAAAAGCUAAAGUUACAUAAAAUAUUAUAGCCUACACCUCACGGACUGCUCUGUGUUCCACAAUAAUUCACUGUUGCCUCCUUGUUCACGUAUCAUGGCUCGAGAGUUCUUUGAGGAAGAAAUCAUCAAGAGAUAUGCUGGACCCUGUGUCAGAGAGGUGUUUCUGGGACUACAUUGUUUCUUUCAAGGAUUCACAGCAUGGGCUGGAGGAGGUGAGAACAGAGCAGAGGAGAGGAGAGAGAACCCACAUGCUGUGCUCUGUGGGGUACUGGCUGUGUUACCAAGGAAUUUCUCACAGGUAUUUGCAUUCCUCCAAAACCCAAUCCAACUUGUAGAGGGUGGAACUGUUACACUAUUGCAAUACCUUCAACAUCCGUUAUCUCUGAAGUGUUCUGCUCCAGUGUGUGAGUUUAGUCCUAUUCUACCUGUGGGUGUUAUGGUCUUUAAUGUAACCUAA
rnacentral:lncRNA from 13 species